rfam:Ignavibacteria bacterium GWB2_35_6b gwb2_scaffold_7817, whole genome shotgun sequence.
GGAGAGGUGCAAGAGUGGUUGAUUUGGCUACCCUGGAAAGGUAGUGUACGGGCAACCGUACCGUGGGUUCGAAUCCCACUCUCUCCG